rnacentral:lncRNA from 1 species
CAGACAGCAGGCUCUGGCAGCUGACCAGCAAUGCGCUCCCCAGUGGCUGCAUUGCUGGGAAAUGCUAGGUAAACAACGGCCGAGAUGAAAAGCAGGAUACUUCUGUGUGUGUGAAGCAGUGAGGCUGAGCCCUGGGACCCCCAUGACACCAUGAAGAUAAAUAGUUCAGGCUCAGAUGAUGUUUGCCACCAGGCUCUGUGCUUUCCCCCACGGGUGUAUGGUGACGGAAACCCAACACGUCCCAGAGCGCGCUGACACUGUUACUCUGCUCUGGCAUGGGUGGAACGGCCCCAGGAGGUAGAGCCCGUGCUGGUUGCAUGUGGAGCUGUGCACUCUCCUUCCACUCUCUUCUUUACAUCUCCACCAUAAUUCUGGGUUGCACUUGGCAACGUUGAAUGAGACCCUAUAGCAAGAGCCUCACCUGUGCUAAGGCAGGGAAAGCCUAUGGUGAGAAUCCAUUUCAGAUGUUUUUUUUAAGUGCAGGAUCGUGGUUUUAUGGUACAUUUUAACAUAAAUAUCCUCUUCAAACUAGCUUUUUUUUUCCCGUCUUGUGAGGAAACAUCUUAAUGGAGCGGGAUUUGGGAAGCCUGUCCCAGGGAGCUGAGCAAAAUGAGCUCAGAGUGCCACUCUUGCUGCUUCUCUUUGCAGGUUUGCAGAAGGGACGCAGCACUUUUCCUCAUCUUCCAGCUCAGCAAUGCAGAGCAAACACUGAUAAAGUCCUUCAGAGCUGCAAGGUUUGAUUUCAAGAUUAUCUGGAAAUGACCCAAACAAGAGAGAGAGAGGACUUGGGACUGCUCUUGAGAAAUGCCUGCACAGGAUCAGCCAUCAGCCAUCAGCGGUCCAGACACAUCCAAAGGGAUUUAUUUUAGAAAUUGUGUGGUAAUCUCACAACAGCCAUCCUUCCGAGGUGAUUUCCAGCACCUCCUCGUUAUGUUCCCAUUACAAUGAAAUGCAGAGAUACUGUGAGAAUAGCUUUUUUCCCCCUAUUUUGCAAUCUCUUUGUGCUGUAAGUGCACUUUGCACCUGGUUUGGCUGAAGGUUUGGGCCAAGUUUGUGGGGUGAGCUUGGAAAAGGCCCAAUCUGGCUUUAUUGCUGAAGCUCUGUGGAAGAAGGACACAAACCAUCCAUGAGGACUUAAUCUUCUAAGGGAUGCAAACCCAUGAAACAUCCCCUUGCUUUGUUAGCCAGCGGGGCUGUGCUCUGGCUGUAUCUUUGCUGCUAUAUUGACUGGUUGUACGUAGAAAAUACUUCUGCUUCUGCUGCACAUACGCCCACCUUGGAGAGGCUGUAGCUGAGCAAACACAAGAUAAGAGUUUAGCAGCUCCCAACGCUGAAAAAACAGAGUGCCCUUUUCAGCUGGAAAAUUCAGACCAUCACUUGGACGGAACGGUGUCUUCU